AACGAACGCUGGCGGCAUGCCUAACACAUGCAAGUCGAACGACACCUUCGGGUCUAGUGGCGCACGCGUGCGUCACGCGUGGGAACCUGCCCGUAGGCUCGGAAUAACUCCCCGACAGGGGUGCUAAUACCGGGUAACGUCCUCGGACCCCAGAUUUAUCUCCUUUGGAUGGGCGCGCGUUGUAUUGGCUAGUUGGUAGGGUAAGAGCCUACCAAGGCGACGCUCGAUAGCUGGUCUGAGAGGAUGAUCAGCCACACUGGGACGAGGACACGGCCCAGACUCCUACAGGAGGCAGGAGUGGGGGAUAUUGGAAUACGGGCGGAAGCAUGAACCAGCUAGGCCUCUAGAGUGAUGAAGGCCUUAGGGUUGUAAAGCUCGUUUACCCGCGAUGAUAAUGACAGUACCGAGAGAAUAAGCUCCGGCUAACUCCGUG
rnacentral:rRNA from 1 species